UGUCAUUAUGUCAUGACAGUAUAAGACAAAUAAUCUAUAAAAAAUGUAGCUCUUAUGACUUCUUCCCAGUGCUCCCUGGACUAACUUCAGAAAUACACCACUUAGUCAGAAACAACUAAUCAGAGCCAGGAGGAGGGUUCGCACUGUUAGUCACUCAUGGUUACUUUUGACCGGCAGUGGUGCAAAAGUACCAUGCCAGCAGUUUGGCAUGGUUACAGAUGGCAACUGUACCUCCGGGAGGAAGAUAAGGAGCUUGAUUUUUUUUCUCAGAUUAUCUAUCUCAUACCAUACUGUCAUGACAACAAAUAUGUAAAACAAACAUGUUUCUUUUAAAUUGGUUUGGUCAUUUAAAAAAUGUCAUCUUACUCGUCUGUCACCUAACACACCCAUGUUCGUUUGUGAGCACCUAUUCUUCCACAAGUCUUUUGUUCAAUGUCUGUCAAAAUAUAGCAUACUUAUCCGACGUUUUAAUGUUCUGUCAAAUUAAAACUUCAAAGUUUAGUGUUUUACCUGGGAUAUUGUUCACUGGCUCAACACAAACUGAUACAUGAUUGUAAAACUAAAAGAGAAGUCCUCAAAUUAUUUUUACAAAUAAAAAUUUGAAAAGGAUAUGGCACUUUUGAAUUCAGAACCCUUUCUAAAAAGAAGUCACCUAAUUACUAAAUGAAGUCCACCUGUGUGUACUUUAAUAUCAGUAUAAACGCAGCUGUUCAGUGAAGACCUCAGAGGUCUGUCUUCAGCGGUCACGAGAACGGAAGUUUUUGUCAGAGCGGCGCGGGAAAAACAAAACACAGAAAAACAUAUCGGAUUUGGAAAAGGCGGAUUUGGGCAUAAACCGGUAGGUGGAUGGUUCGGUUGGAAAUGGAGAUAGGAAAUGAGGAAGACAUGGAUUUUGAAGGGUGGACACCAGUGGGGAGAGGGAGAGGAUGUGGAAAAAAUAAAAUAGAUGAAGGAAAGGGAAUUGGUGAUAUUGGUGUUGUUUGACUAAUUUCAACGCAGUAAACGAGAACUGGAAGGAAGUAGUUCAGAAGAAGAAGGGAUAGUUAGGAGGAAAGUUGUGAGGGAGGAAUUUAAAAUAAUAUUAAAACUUAAGAACGAGGAAGAACAGGAUAACAUCAGCCCGAUUGUGGUGUCAAGAGAAAUAAAAAAGAAAAUUGGAGAUGUUGAAAUGGUAAAGAUUUUGAGAGAUGAAAACCUAUUGGUAGUUUGUAAAAAUGAAGAACAAAAGAAUAAGGCUUUAAAUGUGGAUAAUAUCUGUAAAAAAAAAAAACUGUGUUGGAGAAAAAAAUCAUGGGAGAAAAUAAAAAAUUAGAGGAGUGAUUUAUGGGAUCCAUGAAGAUCUUGAUAAAGUUAAGAGAAGUAUUGUAGAUGCAAAAGUGAAUAACUUGAAGAGAUUGUCAAAAACAAUAAAUGGAGAAAAAGUAGGAAGUCUGUCAACUCUCAUUAAAUUUGAAGAAAAAGAGUUGCCACAAAACAUCAAAAUAGGUUAUCUCAGUUUUCAGGUCAGACCUUAUAUCCCUCCACCACUUCGUUGUUUCAGAUGCCAAAGGUAUGGACACAUAGCAGCAGUUUGUAAAGGGAAGCACAGAUGUCCAAACGUGGUGAAGAUCACAAGUUAGAAGAAGUACAAGAAAAAGUUAACUGUGGAGGGCAACAUAGAGUUGCAUAUGGGGGAUUUUAAGUAAGGAAGAAGGCAAAAGAAAUCAUAAAGAUUAAAAUGACUAAAAACAUAAGCUAUGCAGAAGCAGUUAAAUAGACCAUCACGAACCACACUCCAUACCAGUAAGUGGCAGUAAUGCUAUUAAAAGUUUGUUGCCAACUGCCAAUAAAACCAAGACGAAGAAGAAGAAGACCUCAGAGGUUUGCUAGAGAACACUGUCGAGCAAACAGCAUCAUGAAGACCAAAGUACACAGAGAGAAAGGUGUGGAGGAGUUUAGAUCAGGCUUAGGUUAUAAAAUAACAACUCGAGAUUAUAAGAUUUUAUGGAGAUUAGUUUAAUCCAUCAUCCAAAUAAAUGAAUUAGCAUGCCUAAAUUGUACCUAUGUUGCUGUGGCUGUUCGGCUAAAUUGACAGUUUGGAUAAGGAGACCAUUAAUUAUGAGCCAACAUUAAAGGUUUCAUGUGGAGAAUCUGUUGGCAGUACUUCAAAACUCUGACCUUUGUGGAAGGCAAGAAAUUGUUUGUUUAAAGUGCUUUGCAAAAAUGAGACAUUGUGGCAGUGCCAUGCUUUCGGCAUGAGAGAGAAACUGGCCUAAAUUCAUUGAAAGAAGGCUAAAAGCAGAAAAAAUGCUCGAUCAAAAUCUAUCAGGAUCCACAUUCUUCUUUUGGAGUACUACCAUUCUAUCUACCAAUAAAAAAUAACUUGCAUAAUAGUAAAAAGAUUUUAAUACAGUUUCCCCACUCCAUGUUAAUCUUCUAGACUUCUUUUAGUCCUGCUGGAAUCAAAAUCUUGGACUCUAACAUCCUGUUUAGUCAUUCGUAGUGAAGCCUCAUGUGUUUUCCUGUGGGUUAGGCUUCUGUUAAAGCAGUUUUUAUUCACCAAGUCUGGACAGAGUUGUGCAGAGCACCACAUAAUAAAGCCUGAAUUGUCAACAUUGUGCAAUUAUCUCUGAAUGCCUUUGAGGGCCAUUGCAUGCUCAAGCUUGUUGCAGAAAACCACAGAUAUUUUUUCUGUUGCAUCUUACAAUUAUUCGCACAAAUCCAAAAGCAGGAUAAAGGGGAGCUUGCUUAUUUAACAACAUGCAAAUAGUAUACUUGUUCAAUUAGAUAUUGAUAAAUAAUAGUUGUGCAUGUGUGUGAGUCAUCUCUGUGUGAAUGUUCACUGCAUUUGAUGUUCCACCCAUGGGCAAGAUUAACCACAGCUGAACCGUUUCCAGUAAUUGUGGAUCAGCCUUGCACAUCAACUUGGAGGAAUUUAUGUCUCUUCCUUCUUUGGCACACAACAGUGUUGAUUCUUGAAUGCUGGUGGGUGUCCUGUAUUAAAUAGCUUCGUUCAAGUUGUUCUCCACAACAAAUCUGAUUACUUAAGUCUCAGGACUCAGACUCGGUCAUUGCACAAGGCAAGAAUCUUCAUUCUGCUUUAAGCAUCCUUGGUAUUUGAGUGUGUCCCCUUAUUCUCCUCCUACACGAACCGCAUUCUCUUAAAAAUAAUAAUGGUAUUUGCAUGCAACAGCAAAAUAAGUUCCUGGUCUAUUGUACCAUCACAAGCUUGUCUCCUGAUUAAAACCAGCAGCUGCAAGGAUGACUAAGUCAUAGUUGGCCUUGGAGACAGAUGGCUUGCUAAACAAACAAGAUGGCUUGAAGGUUAGUAAAAAUGUUGACUGCUGUGACUCAGUCUUGAAGUAGGUGCGCAUACUUUUUUAAAUCCAUUGGCUUGAGGCCAGAAUAGAGAGCAACAGCCAACACCCAUGUGUCUUUUAUGCAGGCCAGAGAACUAUGCUUCAAGGGAUCAAGGGUAGUGAUUGAAAAUGUAAUCACUUCUCAUUUCAGACACCGUGUCUUGACUAUUGGCAGCAAUUUUAGUUCUUGCAUCGACUUUUCUAAUGUAAUUAAGAUGAGAGAGAUUUGAGAAAACUCAAGAAGGAAAUCACUUGCCUGCAAGAAAGCAUUUUUCACAACCAAAUGUUUGAACUUCAGCAAGUCAUCUGCCCUACUUAUACACAAUGUGUUACUGUCAUGUGAUUGUUUGACCAACCCUCCAGGGAUAAAAGGUAAUUUUGUUAUUUUGAAGCACUGAUUUUUAUUUCAAUGCCAAUUUGCAACAAAUAGUUGUUGCAAAUUGUAUGUGGCAAAUGUAGUGGUAUUUUUAGCAUUACAUGCAAUGAAAUGGAUGGUGCUGCAUGUACAGUAAUACUGAUUCACCAGCUUGUAACUACCAGAGGGAUGUAAGAAAAGACCAAGAGAAACUCAUUUCAGAAUAAUUGAUGAUUGACUUAUUCAUCAGGUUCAUGGAUUACAUAGACAUAAAAAAAGACAUGACAAACAACAACACAUAAAAAAAUUAUAAAAGACUUGCAUACCAGUGUUUCCACAAAGACGAUUAGUGCACUGACAGAUCAUUACAAUAAGAUUGUUCUUGGAGCUGCACAAAUGGCACAUAAAAAUCUUGUACAUUGGCAGAACUACGUAGCAAGAAAUCUGUGGCAGAAUAAAAUAAAAGAUUUUUUUUCCUACAUAAAAAAGCACUGAUGUUUAGGAGUCUGUUUGGUUAGGGACACCAAAUUCUUAAAGUGAUCUCCAAGUUUUCAGUGUAAAUUUAUGCUGCAUUCAUUAUUCUUCACACAUGAACACACUUUACAACAACUAUAAAACAGGUGCAGAGAGCUUCUACAGAGUGUGCUGAUGAAUACAACCCUUCUGUUAGAAAUAUACUGCUCAAAAAAAUAAAGGGAACACUUAAACAGGUGUUUAACACUUAAAGUGUUCCCUUUAUUUUUUUGAGCAGUGUAUUUGGCAGUUUCAGUCAGCUGCCACCGUCAGAGUCUCCAAAGUCCAAUAGACCGAGGGUGUGGUGAGCUGCGGGGUGAACACGCGCUCUGUCUAUGCGCUCCUGAUCAUUCGCAUAAAAACUGAAGCCCUCUCUUGUUUCAUGCAUUUCUUUUCUUUUCUUUUCUUUUCUUUUCUUUUCUUUUCUUUUCUUUUCUUCUCUUUUUUUAAGAGCCAAUUAAACUCUUCUCACCCUGACUGUCAUCACCCUGCUUGGCUCCACCUGAAGCUCAGUCAACAUUCACAUUACCUCCUACUCCACUAAUUAAGCACCGGGUUUCAUAACACCAACGUAUCACUACAUUCAGGGCCAUUAUUUUCCAAGAAGUGGCUAAAGUAUUCUCUUAACUAGUCCUACAAAAAUAGGCCUUGUGUCUUCGUACACAACGAAAAAAAAAAAAAAAAAAAAAAAAAAAACGGCGUAUCACGGAAAAGGGG